UAUAAAUUAGAAUAGUACAGCUUUAUGAAAAUGGACGUCAAACGGAGAGUAUAAAUAUGAAACUAACUACCUGAGAUCUUUAUUACGGUGAUCUUCUUCUCCUCGAUUAACCAAAUCGGUUAACCAUUGAUCGAAUCAUUUGAUUAAUCUUGCAAAUGGAUAAAAGCGAUGGAUGUUGCUCAACUCACCUAAUAGAUGGAGAUGGUAAUUUCAAUGUUGAUGGAAUGGAUAGUUUCUCGAAGGAAGUUAAACUUGCUGAGUGUGGACUUUCUUAUGCCGUUGUCUCCAUCAUGGGCCCUCAAAGCAGUGGGAAGAGUACAUUGUUAAAUCACCUGUUUAAUACUAAUUUCAAGGAGAUGGAUGCUUUUAAGGGGAGGUCUCAAACUACAAAAGGUAUUUGGAUGGCACGGUGUGUUGGAAUUGAACCUUGCACUCUUGUGAUGGAUUUAGAGGGCACUGAUGGAAGAGAACGAGGAGAGGAUGACACUGCAUUUGAAAAGCAGAGUUCUCUUUUUAGCCUUGCUGUUUCUGAUAUAGUGUUGAUAAAUAUGUGGUGUCAUGACAUUGGUCGUGAGCAGGCUGCAAAUAAGCCACUCUUAAAAACUGUAUUCCAGGUUAUGAUGAGAUUAUUUAGUCCACGUAAAACGACUUUGAUGUUUGUCAUUCGUGAUAAAACAAGGACGCCUUUGGAAAAUCUGGAACCUGUUCUAAGGGAAGACAUUCAGAGGAUAUGGGAUGGCGUUCCCAAGCCUCAAGCUCACAAAGAAACUCUGUUAAGUGAAUUUUUUAAUGUUGAAGUUGUGGCUCUUUCCAGUUUUGAAGAGAAGGAAGAACAAUUUAAAGAACAGGUGGAUGGUCUAAGAAAGCGAUUCUUUCAUUCUAUUGCCCCUGGUGGGCUUGCUGGGGAUAGAAGGGCUGUAGUUCCAGCUUCAGGCUUUUCAUUUAGUGCACAACAGAUAUGGAAGAUCAUUAAGGAGAACAAGGACCUUGAUCUACCUGCUCACAAGGUGAUGGUGGCCACUGUACGCUGUGAAGAGAUUGCUAAUGAAAAGUUCUCUUCGUUUAUUGCAAAUAAGGAAUGGCGUCAACUAGAAGAGACUGUACAGGCUCAGCUGGUGCCAGGCUUUGGGAGGAAGCUCAGCUCAAUUCUUGAUGCUUGUCUAUCAGAGUAUGAUGCGGAGGCCACAUAUUUUGAUGAAAGUGUUAGAUCUUCAAAGCGCAGUCAAUUGGAAGAGAAACUGAUGCAACUUGUCCAACCAGCUUACCAGUUCAUGUUGGGACACAUACGUUCUGGAACUUUGGAAAAAUUUAAAGAAGCUUUCGAUAAAGCCUUGAAUAGUGGGAAAGGAUUUACUGGUGCUGCAUGUGAUUGCACUGAGUAUUAUAUGUCACAGUUUGAUGAAAGAUCUGCAGACGCGGAAAUUGACCAAGCAAACUGGGACUGCUCUAGAGUAAGAGAUAAGCUCCAGCGUGAUAUUGAUGCACAUGUUGCUGCAGUCAGUAGUGCCAAGCUGUCUGAACUUCUGACAACGUAUGAGACAAAAUUGAAUAAGGCAAUAUCUGGACCUGUUGAGGCUUUAUUUGAAGGAGCUAACAAUGAUACAUGGCUUGCAAUAAGAAAACUUAUCCAACGCGAGAUUGAAACAGCUGUAGCUGGAUUUUCUGGUGCUCUUUCUGGUUUUGAAAUGGACGAAGAAACAAAGGAUAAAAUGCUUUUGAGGUUGAAGGAACAUGCAAGAGGAUUGGUUGAAUCCAAGGCAAAAGAAGAGGCUGGAAGGGUUUUGAUUCGUAUGAAGGACAGGUUUUCAACAUUAUUUAGCCAAGAUUCUGACUCAAUGCCUCGGGUCUGGACUGGGAAGGAAGAUAUUCGAGCAAUCACCAAAGCUGCUCGCUCUGCCUCUUUGAAGCUGCUAUCUGUUAUGGCUGCAAACCGUUUGGAUGACAAUGCUGAUACUAUUGAAAGCACGUUGUCCCUAGCUCUCAUGGAUCCCAAAUCUACCAAUAAGGGCACUUCAGUGGACCCUCUGGCCUCAAGCAGUUGGGCUGAGGUUCCGCCAUCCAAAACUUUGAUAACGCCUGUCCAGUGCAAGUCUUUGUGGAGGCAAUUUAAAGCCGAGACUGAGUACACUGUUACUCAAGCCAUUGCAGCUCAGGAAGCUAGCAAGCGAAAUAACACUUGGUUACCACCUCCAUGGGCGAUUCUUGCAUUGUUAAUCUUGGGUUUUAACGAGUUUAUGACACUUUUGAGGUACCCCUUAUAUUCUUUGUUGGGAGGGCAGCGGCUACCUGAAAUCCGUUAUAUUUGGGUGUUAUUUUUGUUGGUUUUCUAAUUAUAAAGGCUCUUUGGGUACAACUAGACAUCCCAGGUGUUUUCAGCAAUGGAGCUCUUCCCGGACUUCUUUCCUUAUCAACCAAAUUUCUUCCCACGAUCACGAACCUUCUUAGGAAACUAGCCGAGGCGGGCCAAGGGCGUGGAAAUCCCAACCCUCAGCAUAACCCUCCAGCUGCAGCAAAGAAAUUUGAAAACAGCACUGAUGAUUCGUCAUCGAGUGCUUCAUCUGAGGUAACUUCCAGAAAUGGAAUUGAAUACUCGAGUCCCUUGGCUCAUCAGAAAUUGCAGUAAGCUUUCGUUCGGAGAACAAUCUUCUCCAUGAUCCUACUUUCGUCAUUAAUGCAAGUAUUAAGCUGCACAAUGUUCGUUGAUCCGACUGCUAGGCUGCUAGCAACAAAAAUGAGGAACAAAUCUUGAAGACAUUUUAAGGCUUGUUUGGGGGUGUGCUGAUGUUUGUCACAGAAAAUGUCCCAAUCAGUUGAGUUUUUGUUGUUUUUAUAGAUUUUUUUCCUCGUGUCUCUCGUUGGUGACGGAAAAAGGCCUUGAUUGUGUUUGAUUUUCAGUUUUGCCUUCAAAGAUUGAAUAUGUUUUAUGGGAGUUUCGGAUUAUGUAGUCGAUUCUAAAUUUAUUGUGAAGAAGUAUAAU